GACGAAGGAUGCAAGCGUUAUCCGGAUUCAUUGGGUUUAAAGGGAGCGUAGGCGGCCCUGUAAGUCAGUGGUGAAAUCUCGCAGCUUAACUGCGAAAUUGCCAUUGAUACUUGCAGGGCUUGAGUAGCAGUUGCUUGUGGGCGGAAUAUGACAUGUAGUGGUGAAAUACGUAGAGAUGUCAUAGAACACCGAUUGCGAAAGGCAGCUCACAAAACUGUAACUGACGCUGAAGGCUCGAAAGAUGCGGGGAUCAAACAGGGA
rnacentral:rRNA from 1 species